rnacentral:rRNA from 1 species
CCUACGGGAGACAGCAGUAGGGAAUCUUUCACAAUGGGCGAAAGCCUGAUGGAGCAACGCCGCGUGCAGGAUGAAGGCCUUCGGGUUGUAAACUGCUUUUAUAAGCGAGAAAUAUGAUGGUAACUUAUGAAUAAGGAUCGGCUAACUACGUGCCAGCAGCCGCGGUCAUACGUAGGAUCCGAGCAUUAUCCGGAGUGACUGGGUGUAAAGAGUUGCGUAGGUGGCAUAAUAGGUAGCUAGUGAAAUCUGGUGGCUCAACCAUUCAGACUAUUAGCUAAACUGUUAAGCUCGAGACCGUUAGGGGUAACUGGAAUUUCUAGUGUAGGAGUGAAAUCCGUAGAUAUUAGAAGGAACACCAAUAGCGUAGGCAGGUUGCUGGGACGGUUCUGACACUAAGGCACGAAAGCGUAGGGAGCAAACGGGAUUAGAUACCCCAGUAGUC